GCCGGCAGCUAGCUCUCUGCAACUCUCACAUAGUCGCCCACUGAAGCUAAGCAGGGCUGCGCCCGGUCAGUACCUGGAUGGGAGACCACAUGGGAAAGCUAGGGUGCUGCCGGAA
rnacentral:rRNA from 1 species